rnacentral:rRNA from 1 species
GAUGAACGCUGACAGAAUGCUUAACACAUGCAAGUCAUUGGCGAAGCUGCGCUUGCGCAGUCUAGCCAAGGCGGACGGGUGAGUAACGCGUAAGGAACUUGCCCUGCAGACAGGGAUAACAGACGGAAACGACUGAUAACACCUGGUAUUGUCAGGCUGGCGCAUGCCGGCCUGAUGAAAGGAGACACUGCAGGAGAGCCUUGCGUCCUAUUAGCUAGUUGGUGGGGUAACGGCCCACCAAGGCGAUGAUAGGUAGCCGGCCUGAGAGGGUGAACGGCCACAAGGGGACUGAGAUACGGCCCUUACUCCUACGGGAGGCAGCAGUGGGGAAUAUUGGACAAUGGGGGCAACCCUGAUCCAGCAAUUCUGUGUGCACGAAGAAGGUUUUCGGAGUGUAAAGUGCUUUCAGCAGGGAAGAAGAAAGUGACGGUACCUGCAGAAGAAGCGACGGCUAAAUACGUG